GACGAACGCUGGAGGCGUGCUUAACACAUGCAAGUCGAACGAUGAAAUGGAGCUUGCUCCAUGGAUUGGUGGCGAACGGGUGAGUAACACGUGAAUAACCUGCCCUUAAUUUUGGAAUAACCCAGGGAAACCUGGGCUAAUACCGGAUAAGUAAACCUGUGGCAUCACAUGGUUUUGGAAAGUUUUUCGAUUAAGGAUGGAUUCGCGGCCUAUCAGCUUGUUGGUGAGGUAAUGGCUCACCAAGGCGACGACGGGUAGCCGGCCUGAGAGGGUGAACGGCCACACUGGGACUGAGACACGGCCCAGACGCAUACGGGAGGCAGCAGUGGGGAAUAUUGCGCAAUGGACGAAAGUCUGACGCAGCGACGCCUCGUGAGGGACGAAGGUCUUCGGAUUGUAAAGCUCUUUCGUCCGGGACGAUAAUGACGGUACCGGAAGAAGAAGCCCCGGCUAACUUCGUGCCAGCAGCCGCCGUAA
rnacentral:rRNA from 1 species